CUGUCUCAAAGAUUAAGCCAUGCAUGUCUCAGUACAAGCCAAAUUAAGGUGAAACCGCGAAAGGCUCAUUAAAUCAGUUAUGGUUCCUUAGAUCGUACACACAUUUACUUGGACAACUGUGGUAAUUCUAGAGCUAAUACAUGCAAACAGAGCUCCGACCGGAGACGGAAGGAGCGCUUUUAUUAGAUCAAAACCAAUCGGUGGCGGUUCGCCGUCAUCGUUCAAUUUGGUGACUCUGAAUAACUUCAAGCUGAUCGCACGGUCUAGCACCGGCGACGCAUCUUUCAAAUGUCUGCCUUAUCAACUGUCGAUGGUAGGUUCUGCGCCUACCAUGGUUGUAACGGGUAACGGGGAAUCAGGGUUCGAUUCCGGAGAGGGAGCCUGAGAAACGGCUACCACAUCCAAGGAAGGCAGCAGGCGCGCAAAUUACCCACUCCCGGCACGGGGAGGUAGUGACGAAAAAUAACGAUACGGGACUCAUCCGAGGCCCCGUAAUCGGAAUGAGUACACUCUAAACCCUUUAACGAGGAUCAAUUGGAGGGCAAGUCUGGUGCCAGCAGCCGCGGUAAUUCCAGCUCCAAUAGCGUAUAUUAAAGUUGUUGCGGUUAAAAAGCUCGUAGUCGAAUCUGUGUUCCGCGCCGCCGGUUCAUCGUUCGCGGUGUCAACUGGCGUGCCGCGGAACGUCCUGCCGGUGGGCUCAGCCCGCGAGGGCGGCCCGACUCAAUCCCGCCGCGGUGCUCUUUACUGAGUGUCGAGGUGGGCCGGCACGUUUACUUUGAACAAAUUAGAGUGCUUAAAGCAGGCUAAAAUUUCGCCUGAAUAUGUGUGCAUGGAAUAAUGGAAUAGGACCUCGGUUCUAUUUUGUUGGUUUUCGGAAACCCCGAGGUAAUGAUUAAUAGGAACGGAUGGGGGCAUUCGUAUUGCGACGUUAGAGGUGAAAUUCUUGGAUCGUCGCAAGACGG
rnacentral:rRNA from 1 species